GUUAGCAUCAGAUAUCACAGGUUGAGGGCUCAGUCCCCAAGACUGCCGGCCCCCUGCACCAGUCACAGGCCCAGGCUUCUGGAACUUCCAACAGGCUGCCUUCAAGUUGGGCUUCCCAUGGCUCCCUCUUUGGGUUCGAUUAAUUUGCUGGAGGAGCUCAUAGAACUCAGAGAAACACAUUAACUGAUUUAUUGUAAAGGAUAUUGCUAUUGCAAAGGAUACAGAUGAAGAGACAGGAAUGCUGGGAAACGAGGAGAAAGACUAUGCUUUUCACAGCAUCACAGACGGUCCUGGACCCUUCCUAUCAAUGGGACUAUUUCAGAGCUGCCACUUGGCCAGGGCAUCGCAGUGGGCUGUUGGAUCAGACCAAGAGGCACCAACUCAAAUGCCCCCGGCAAGAACCUAUGUCAGGUGGAUGGGAUGGUUAUAAACGGCAGAGCUAUGCCUGCUAUCAAGGAUUAGAAUGAAAAUAUCUGAGCAGCCUCAGCAGAUAGUAGCUGGUGACACCUCAGGAGACUGGAAAAGCCCUACCUUCCAGGACCCCUAGACCCAGCCCUUGCCUGUCUUGAAACAACAAAGGGAGUGAUCUUGGGGACACCAGAACAGUCUGCUUGCAGAGAUUAGGAAUAGGACAGCUUCUUCCAGUCAAACAGCGAGACUAAAAAUGAGUCUAAGGCUCCAGCCUCUCCAAAUUCCUCCUGGCCCACGCAUGAACAUGGUCUCCGUGGCUAUCGAUUCUUCUGAGCCCACCUCCUCCACGGCAGCCGUCGGGUGACCAGCUUUGCGGUGCCAGCAGUGGUCAGGGCUGGUCCCAGGACCCAGGAGCCUGUGUCACCGAGCAGCCGGCCCGAGCCAGCCUGGGACUUUCCGGAGGAUGUGUGCCAGCGUCUCUCAGAGGACACUUUCUUCCUCUCCAGGAGCCUCAGCCCCUUCCCACUUCCUUCAGCUCCCAGACUCAGGUCCACCUCCACCCUGCCCUGCACCUGGGGAACAGCGAGGAGUGGGAGGCUGGGCCGGGCACCCCCAGCUCUGUUCCUGGGCCCCAGCCCCAAGCACCGCUUGGCUCCCAUGGCCCUUGCUACUCACUCUGGGCCUGGCACCUCUACAGCCUCUUUUCCAAGCCCUCCUUCAGCCCCUGCCACCCGACGUGUGUCUGCUCCCCAGGACGGGACUUGGCUCUCACUUCUCUGCCUGCCGGCAUCUCCCACCCUUCCCAUGUCUCCGUCCUGAGCUGCCUCUUUCUCGUGCUCAUCCUGGGCAGUGAGGUCAUGGACCUGAGUGUGCCUGUCCUUUCUGCAUUCCCUGCGGUGCAGCGCGGUGUGUGGCUUUUUAUCCAAGUGCACCUGUUCCCCUGAGUUCCUGGGUGGCAUUCUUCUCCUUUCCCUUCUUGGACCUUCAAAGCACGAUUCUUCAGGUUCUUUCCAGGUCUUCGGGCCAGAUCUGUGGAAUCGUACUGUGAUUUCUCAGAAGCUUUGUUUCAUAAGACUGUUGGUUGUGUUAAAGGAGCAUGAUCUGUGAAGGUCGGUGACAAAAGAGGAAAGUGAAGGGAAGGGCACCCUGACCCAUGGCUCCUGAGAGGGGCAUCCCCUCGGCAGCUGCAGAAGUGAGUGAGCGUAACUCCACUGCGAAGGGGUCUCAGUGUCUCUGAGCGGAGCUCCCCCAGUGCAGUUCCCCCAGCGCCACCUUGAAGGCGUGAGGGGCAUGGGGUCCGGGGGUGAGGAGGGGCCCUUUGGCCUAUUUGUGGGUGGACAGGAGCAUGCUGAGAAGCCCCUUCCUGCAUCUUUUUCUGUCUUCUGGUCAUCACCAGGAGAGGGAGAGGGUGCUGGCCACAAACCACUCGAUGCUGGGGGCUAACGGGAGCAGGUGUGGAGAGGGGGCUUGAGGAAGCCCAUUGAGCUCUUUGCCUGGUGGAUGUUGCUAUGAAUUUUGGAUUUUGAUUAUACGAUGAUAAAAAUUACACAAAAAUGCAAA